GAAAUGCGAUAAGUAAUGUGAAUUGCAGAAUUCAGUGAAUCAUCGAAUCUUUGAACGCACAUUGCGCCCGCUAGUAUUCUGGCGGGCAUGCCUGUCUGAGCGUCAUUUCAACCCUCAAGCAACAUCUGCUUGGUGUUGGGGACCGGCCGUAACAAGCCGCCCCCUAAAUCUAUUGGCGAUCUCGCUGUAGCUUCCUAUGCGUAGUAGUAACAUCUCGCAUGUGGAGAGCGGCGCGGUCAUGCCGUAAAACACCCAACUUUUUUCAGGUUGACCUCAGAUCAGGUAGGAAUACCCGCUGAACUUAA
rnacentral:misc_RNA from 1 species